rnacentral:lncRNA from 7 species
CCUGCUGUAGCCUCACCUUGCUGCUGAGCACAGAGUAGGAGCCUGCUGGGUGCCAGGUUUGGAUGUUUUAAUCUCUGAGUGGCUCCUACGACGUCUUCACGCGCUGCUUGGACAAUGAAAGGAACCAAUAUUUGCGAUGGUGCCAACGCGGCCGUUCCAUGUUCUGUCUGCUUUAUGAGUGCCUCGCACAGAGGCUAUGGCAAAAACAACACCAUGGAGUUACCUGGGGGGAUUCAUGCAGUGGAGCUGUGCAGACGGAUGUGGUCUCCCCUUGAGGCGUGUGCGGUCGCACUGCAGUUGGUAGAGGAGAAAUGGCAACCAGAGUUAGCUGCAGAUGAUUUAUGGGCAUGACUACUUGCCUUUUAUUUUAGUGGGAGUUGAAUGGAUGUUUGGGUGCUUAACACUACUCCAACAUUUUUGCAGGCUGAUUAAUCCACAAAAAGCUUGUAAUUAUCUGAGUGUUUCCCUCUGGACUUCUUAGCAUGUGUUGGUGUCUGGCUCUCUCUGUAGCAUAUGCUAUCCAUUUCCCAAAUCUAUUACAAUCCAAUAAAAGAUAACUUAUGCAGAGUCAGACUGCACGACUACUCUCUUUCAUGUGCAGUGUGGUCUUUGUUUAUCAUGUCAUUUGUUAAGUUACUUGGGUAAAAAUGCCAUGGCAACACAAUGCAAUGCUUGCAGAUAAUGAAAUGAUGUACUAAUUACUGAACAGCAUAUACUAAUUAAAGACACAUUUUAGUUCAACAAUUUCAUCUCUUGCUGCAUGAUGAAAAGACAGGAAAAAGGCAGCAGUUGCAAUAGUGCAACAAUGAUUCAGGUUGGCUAGCUGACGAAAUGUGUGCAAGACAGCAAGCUAUGUGCUGCGUGCCUUCUACUGAUCUUAGGAGAGUCAAUGCAGAAACAGUUCUUUCUGAAAACGCUUUGAAUCAAACACUUCCCUUGACCCAUCAAAUUUUCACACCUUUAUAUUCCUAAUAAAGGUACCUUGUGACCAACAGAUAAUGUUUAUUCACCCACCAGUUGGCGCAACUUGUUCUCUGAAGGCCAGGUUUGGUGGCAAUGUGUGUUGACUUGAUUGAUACCCAUUCACUUAAAUUAGUGCUGAACCUCCAACUGCAGCUGUAUUAAAGGCUUUCUGGAAUU